ACGCUCGACACCUACGGAGGCAGCAGUCGGGAAUAUUGCGCAAUGGAGGAAACUCUGACGCAGUGACGCCGCGUAUAGGAAGAAGGUUUUCGGAUUGUAAACUAUUGUCGUUAGGGAAGAGAAAGGACAGUACCUAAGGAGGAAGCUCCGGCUAACUACGUGCCAGCAGCCGUGGUAAUCUGAGCGGGCUGGCAAGGC
rnacentral:rRNA from 1 species